CCUACGGGUGGCAGCAGUGGGGAAUAUUGCACAAUGGGGGAAACCCUGAUGCAGCAACGCCGCGUGAGCGAUGAAGGCCUUCGGGUCGUAAAGCUCUGUCCUAAGGGAAGAAUACUUACGGUACCUUAGGAGGAAGCUCCGGAUAACUACGUGCCAGAAGCCGCGGUAAUACGUAGGGGGCUAGCGUUAUCCGGAAUUGCUGGCGGUAAAGGGUGCGUAGGCGUGCCUUAAAGUCAGAGGUGAAAGGCUAGGGCUAAACCGUAGUAAGCCUUUGAAACUGUAGGGCUUGAGUGCAGGAGAGGAGAGUGGAAUUCCCAGUGUAGCGGUGAAAUGCGUAGAUAUUGGGAGGAACACCAGUGGCGAAGGCGGCUCCCUGGACUGUAACUGACGCUGAGGCACGAAAGCGUGGGGAGCGAACAGGAUUAGAUACCCUGGUAGUC
rnacentral:rRNA from 1 species